AACGAACGCUGGCGGCAUGCCUAACACAUGCAAGUCGAACGAGACCUUCGGGUCUAGUGGCGCACGGGUGCGUAACGCGUGGGAACCUGCCCUUAAGUUCGGAAUAACUCCCCGAAAGGGGUGCUAAUACCGGAUAAUGUCUUCGGACCAAAGAUUUAUCGCCUUUGGAUGGGCCCGCGUUGGAUUAGCUAGUUGGUAGGGUAAAAGCCUACCAAGGCGACGAUCCAUAGCUGGUCUGAGAGGAUGAUCAGCCACACUGGGACUGAGACACGGCCCAGACUCGUACGGGAGGCAGCAGUGGGGAAUAUUGGACAAUGGGCGACAGCCUGAGCCAGCAAUGCCGCGUGAGUGAUGAAGGCCUUAGGGUUGUAAAGCUCUUUUACCCGGGAUGAUAAUGACAGUACCGGGAGAAUAAGCGCCGGCUAACUCCGUG
rnacentral:rRNA from 1 species